AUGGGAGCAGAAAGUGAAAAGAAGGAAAAUCACGAAAAAGAGACGCCAAUCGCUUCUCCAACUACUCUCACACAAGAUCAGUUCCUCUCAUGGAAGCGACACAAGGAUGCUGCUGAGUCAGCCAGAAAAGCUGAAGCCUCCAGGAAGCGGGCAGAGGAUAUUGCUGCUGGAACCGUCCAAAUGAACGGCCGGGAGCUGUUUCUGCAUGAACCAUGGGUGUUUGAUGACUCACGUUUUUGA